rnacentral:rRNA from 1 species
CGAGUGAAGCGGCAGCAGCUCGAAUUUGAAAUCUGGCUCUUUCAGGGUCCGAGUUGUAAUUUGCAGAGGGAGCUUUCGAGUUGGCAGCGGUCUAAGUUCCUUGGAACAGGACGUCACAGAGGGUGAGAAUCCCGUACGUGGUCGCAGGCCUUCUCGAGGUAAAGCCCCUUCGACGAGUCGAGUUGUUUGGGAAUGCAGCUCUAAAUGGGAGGUAAAUUUCUUCUAAAGCUAAAUACUGGCCAGAGACCGAUAGCGCACAAGUAGAGUGAUCGAAAGAUGAAAAGCACUUUGGAAAGAGAGUCAAAUAGCACGUGAAAUUGUUGAAAGGGAAGCGCUUGCAGCCAGACUUGCCUGUAGUUGCUCAUCCGGGCUUUUGCCCGGUGCACUCUUCUAUAGGCAGGCCAGCAUCAGUUUGGGCGGUUGGAUAAAGGUCUCUGUCACGUACCUCCUCUCGGGGAGGCCUUAUAGGGGAGACGACAUGCAACCAGCCUGGACUGAGGUCCGCGCAUCUGCUAGGAUGCUGGCGUAAUGGCUGUAAGCGGCCCGUCUUGAAACACGGACCAAGGAGUCUAACAUCUAUGCGAGUGUUUGGGUGUCAAGCCCGAGCGCGCAAUGAAAGUGAACGGAGGUGGGAUCCCUUAAGGGUGCACCAUCGACCGAUCCUGAAGUCUUCGGAUGGAUUUGAGUAAGAGCAUGGCUGUUGGGACCCGAAAGAUGGUGAACUAUGCUUGA